CAAGUCGCACGAGAAAGCGGGAGCAAUCUCGCAAGUAAAGUGGCGUACGGGUGAGUAACACGUGGAUCAUCUGCCCUGGAGUGGGGAAUAACGCUGGGAAACCGGCGCUAAUACCGCAUAUACCCGAGAGGGGAAAGCAGCAAUGCGCUCGAGGAGGAGUCCGCGGCCGAUUAGCUAGUUGGCAGGGUAAAAGCCUACCAAGGCUGUGAUCGGUAGCCGGCCUGAGAGGGCACACGGCCACACUGGCACUGAAACACGGGCCAGACUCCUACGGGAGGCAGCAGUGGGGAAUCUUGCACAAUGGGGGAAACCCUGAUGCAGCGACGCCGCGUGAGCGAUGAAGCCCUUCGGGGUGUAAAGCUCUUUCGGCAGGGAAGAUUAUGACGGUACCUGCAGAAGCAGCUGCGGCUAACUACGUGCCAGCAGCCGCGGUAAUACGUAGGCAGCAAGCGUUGUUCGGAGUUACUGGGCGUAAAGGGUGUGUAGGUGGCGCGCUAAGUUCCGUGUGAGAUCUCCCGGCUCAACCGGGAGGGUGCGCGGAAAACUGGCAGGCUAGAGUACGGGAUGGGAGAGUAGAAUUCCUGGUGUAGCGGUGAAAUGCGUAGAUAUCAGGAGGAAUACCGGUGGUGUAGACGGCUCUCUGGACCGUAACUGACACUGAAACACGAAAGCGUGGGUAGCAAACAGGAUUAGAUACCCUGGUAGUCCACGCCCUAAACGAUGCAUAUUUGGUGUAGGUCAUUCAGUUGAUCUGUGCCGGAGCUAACGCGUUAAAUAUGCCGCCUGGGGAGUACAGUCGCAAGGCUGAAACUCAAAGGAAUUGACGGGGGCCCGCACAAGCGGUGGAGCAUGUGGUUCAAUUC
rnacentral:rRNA from 1 species